GCCGGUCCUGGUGGCGCUUGCCUGUAAUCCCAGCUGUUUGGGAGGCUGAGGCAGGAGGAUCACCAGUUCAAAGCCAGCCUCAGCAAUAGUAAGGUGCUAAGCAACUCAGUGAGAUCCUGUCUCUA
rnacentral:sRNA from 1 species